rnacentral:tRNA from 1 species
GGGGUGUAUAGCUCAGUGGCCGAGCAUUCGACUGCAGAUCGGAAGGUCCCCUGUUCAAACAUGGGUGCCCCCA